rnacentral:rRNA from 1 species
CACGUAGGCGGUAGGAUGUGUGUGAUGUGAAAGCCCCGGGCUCAACCUGGGAAGUGCAUCGCAAACUAUCUAACUAGAGUAGAUGAGAGGGUGGCGGAAUUUCCGGUGUAGCGGUGAAAUGCGUAGAGAUCGGAAGGAACGUCAAUGGCGAAGGCAGCCACCUGGCAUCAUACUGACGCUGAGGUGCGAAAGCGUGGGGAGCGAACA